GAUGAACGCUGGCGGCGUGCCUAAUACAUGCAAGUCGAGCGAACAGACGAGGAGCUUGCUCCUCUGACGUUAGCGGCGGACGGGUGGGUAACACGUGGAUAACCUACCUAUAAGACUGGGAUAACUUCGGGAAACCGGAGCUAAUACCGGAUAAUAUAUUGAACCGCAUGGUUCAAUGGUGAAAGACGGUUUUGCUGUCACUUAUAGAUGGAUCCGCGCCGCAUUAGCUAGUUGGUAAGGUAACGGCUUACCAAGGCAACGAUGCGUAGCCGACCUGAGAGGGUGAUCGGCCACACUGGAACUGAGACACGGUCCAGACUCCUACGGGAGGCAGCAGUAGGGAAUCUUCCGCAAUGGGCGAAAGCCUGACGGAGCAACGCCGCGUGAGUGAUGAAGGUCUUCGGAUCGUAAAACUCUGUUAUUAGGGAAGAACAAAUGUGUAAGUAACUAUGCACGUCUUGACGGUACCUAAUCAGAAAGCCACGGCUAACUACGUG
rnacentral:rRNA from 1 species